rnacentral:lncRNA from 1 species
UGAUUGACAGCACACAAGAUCCAUUUGGGCCAUUUAGAAAAUGGAUGACCAAUCAAACAUUGCGUGUCAACGUGUACUAUCAUACAUACGUAUUACUGUGACGGUCACCUCCAUCGCUCAUGGCUUCUCCUGCAAGGUAAAUUGGAAGAAUGUGUGUCUGCAAAAAUAAGAGGAGAGCCUAGGUAUAAAAGACGUUCAUCAUUUUAACAAUGCAUUUUAAUGAUCUUACUCUUGUUUGCUUGUCUUCUUAGUCUCCUCUCUACUUCGGAUCCUUGGGUAACUGUCAACUUUCAUUGCCACUUGAUAUGAAAUGAUGAUG